rnacentral:rRNA from 1 species
AUUGAACGCUGGCGACAGGCUUAACACAUGCAAGUCGAGCGGAGAUGAGGUGCUUGCACCUUAUCUUAGCGGCGGACGGGUGAGUAAUGCUUAGGAAUCUGCCUAUUAGUGGGGGACAACAUUCCGAAAGGAAUGCUAAUACCGCAUACGUCCUACGGGAGAAAGCAGGGGAUCUUCGGACAUUGCGCUAAUAGAUGAGCCUAAGUCGGAUUAGCUAGUUGGUGGGGUAAAGGCCUACCAAGGCGACGAUCUGUAGCGGGUCUGAGAGGAUGAUCCGCCACACUGGGACUGAGACACGGCCCAGACUCCUACGGGAGGCAGCAGUGGGGAAUAUUGGACAAUGGGGGGAACCCUGAUCCAGCCAUGCCGCGUGUGUGAAGAAGGCCUUAUGGUUGUAAAGCACUUUAAGCGAGGAGGAGGCUACUGAGACUAAUACUCUUGGAUAGUGGACGUUACUCGCAGAAUAAGCACCGGCUAACUCUGUGCCAGCCGCCGCAGUAAGAC